rnacentral:rRNA from 1 species
AGCGAACGCUGGCGGCAGGCCUAGCACAUGCAAGUCGAACGAACUCUUCGGAGUUAGUGGCGGACGGGUGAGUAACACGUGGGAACAUGCCUUUAGGUUCGGAAUAACUCAGGGAAACUUGUGCUAAUACCGAAUGUGCCCUUCGGGGGAAAGAUUUAUCGCCUUUAGAGCGGCCCGCGUCUGAUUAGCUAGCUGGUGAGGUAAAGGCUCACCAAGGCUACGAUCAGUAGCUGGUCUGAGAGGAUGACCAGCCACAUUGGGACUGAGACACGGCCCAAACUCCUACGGGAGGCAGCAGUGGGGAAUCUUGCGCAAUGGGCGAAUGCCUGACGCAGCCAUGCCGCGUGGAUGAUGAAGGUCUUAGGAUUGUAAAAUCCUUUCACCGGUGAAGAUAAUGACUGUAGCCGGAGAAGAAGCCCCGGCUAACUUCGUGCCAGCCGCCGCUGUAAGAC